GACGUAGGGCGCGAGCGUUGUCCGGAUUUAUUGGGCGUAAAGAGCUCGUAGGCGGCUUGUCGCGUCGAACUGUGAAAACUCGGGGCUCAACUCCGAGCUUGCAGUCGAUACGGGCAGGCUAGAGUUCGGUAGGGGAGACUGGAAUUCCUGGUGUAGCGGUGAAAUGCGCAGAUAUCAGAAAGAACACCAAUGCGAAGGCAGCUCUCUGGGACGGUACUGACGCUGAGACGCGAAAGCGUGGAGGAGCGA
rnacentral:rRNA from 1 species